rnacentral:tRNA from 1 species
GCCGAGGUGGCAGAGCGGUAAUGCACUCGUCUCGAAAACGAGCGCCCGAAAGGGCUUCCAGGUUCGAAUCCUGGCCUCGGCG